UUGAACGCUGGCGGCAUGCCUUACACAUGCAAGUCGGACGGUAACGGGCCUUCGGGUGCCGACGAGUGGCGAACGGGUGAGUAAUACAUCGGAACGUGCCCGAUCGUGGGGGAUAACGAGGCGAAAGCUUUGCUAAUACCGCAUACGAUCUACGGAUGAAAGCAGGGGACCGCAAGGCCUUGCGCGGACGGAGCGGCCGAUGGCAGAUUAGGUAGUUGGUGGGAUAAAAGCUUACCAAGCCGACGAUCUGUAGCUGGUCUGAGAGGAUGAUCAGCCACACUGGGACUGAGACACGGCCCAGACUCCUACGGGAGGCAGCAGUGGGGAAUUUUGGACAAUGGGCGCAAGCCUGAUCCAGCCAUGCCGCGUGCAGGAUGAAGGCCUUCGGGUUGUAAACUGCUUUUGUACGGAACGAAAAGCCUUCUUUUAAUACAGGAGGGUCAUGACGGUACCGUAAGAAUAAGCACCGGCUAACUACGUG
rnacentral:rRNA from 1 species